AGCGAACGCUGGCGGCAGGCCUAACACAUGCAAGUCGAGCGCCGUAGCAAUACGGAGCGGCAGACGGGAGAGUAACACGUGGGAACGUACCCUUCAGUACGGAACAACCAAGGGAAACUUUGGCUAAUACCGUAUACGUCCGUAAGGAGAAAGAUUUAUCGCUGAAGGAUCGGCCCGCGUCUGAUUAGCUUGUUGGUGAGGUAACGGCUCACCAAGGCGACGAUCAGUAGCUGGUCUGAGAGGAUGAUCAGCCUCACUGGGACUGAGACACGGCCAAGGCUCCUACGGGAGGCAGCAGUGGGGAAUAUUGGACAAUGGGCGCAAGCCUGAUCCAGCCAUGCGGCGUGGGUGAUGAAGGCCCUAGGGUUGUAAAGCCCUUUCGGCGGGGAAGAUAAUGACGGUACCCGCAGAAGAAGCCCCGGCUAACUUCGUGCCAGCCGCCGCCGUAACAC
rnacentral:rRNA from 1 species